UACAGAGGUCUCAAGCGUUGCUCGGAAUCACUGGGCGUAAAGGGUGCGUAGGCGGCGCGGUAAGUCGGGUGUGAAAUCUUGGAGCUUAACUCCGAAACUGCAUUCGAUACUGCCGUGCUUGAGGACUGGAGAGGAGACUGGAAUUUACGGUGUAGCGGUGAAAUGCGUAGAUAUCGUAAGGAAGACCAGUGGCGAAGGCGGGUCUCUGGACAGUUCCUGACGCUGAAGCACGAAGGCCAGGGGAGCAAACGGG
rnacentral:rRNA from 1 species